GCGGGUUUAGCUCAGUUGGGAGAGCGUCAGACUGAAGCCAAACUUCAAUCAUGAUCAAUUGAUAUCUGAAGGUCGUGUGUUCGAUCCACACAAACCGCA
rnacentral:tRNA from 1 species